ACAAUUAUUAAUGGAAUAUUAUAUUAUAGUUAUAUAAUAUGUCAAUUAAAAGGUAUUUUGGACGAAUGGCUGAAUGAUAGUAGUUUCCCUCAUAUCUGUUUUUAAGCUCUGAUUAGAAGAAAAUCUGCAGAGAAUGAGAGCAAAAUGAUGAAAAACGGGCACAAAACAAACACAAAACAACUGCAGAGCUGUAAAAUGACUAGAGACACAGAAAUACAAGAGACACAAAACCACCAAACAUGGUCUGGGGGGCUUUUACACAUCUGUGCCCAGAGUCCCAUCCUUUCGUGAUCCGUCCAUGUCUGCAGCAUGAGCAUACAGUAACUCAUUUUAGUCCAACAAUAACUAUACUGUGGUAAGACAUACAGCAGCCGGCUAAUUAUUGCCAGUGUUAUUUUAAAGAUAAACUCGUAGCAGUGAGCGGAACUUCGUUUUUUUAGUUCACCAACUAUGUACAAUUCGCCAAUAACGGAGAGAAACGAGUAAUGAUUAGUUUCAUGAGAAAUAAAAAAAAUGGAUAUGAUCUGGUUUUUAAUAACGUCCGGCCUGUGAUGAGUAAAGUUAUGUGAGAGUAACGCGAGCAGCAGGAGAAGCAGAGGGCGAGGAGCCGCUGCUGACCGGCUGCGUCUCCUUCAUAAUGUAUGGAGAGGACAAAGGGCGAAAGGGUUGAUUUCAGCGUCAACUUUGAAAGAGCCGUAACCCAAACCUGUCCUGUCCCACUCUGACGGAUUCACAUCAGCUGAAAGGAUGAUGCCUCUUUUUCCACCUGCAAUCUGUCUAAUAAUCACCGACAGCAGGUAAAUGAGCCCUGGAGGGACCUUUGGGUGCCCGUAUAUAAGGAGGAGCAGAGGAGGCCUGGGCUCGCAGAAACUUUCAGUCCCGCGCAGAGACAGACAGAGAGAGAGAGAGAAAGAGAGAGAGGGAGAGAGAAAGAGAGAGAGAGAAAGAGAAAAGAGAGAGAGAGAGCGGAUCUGGCUGCAGCUGGAUGCCACACCCGGUGGAUGCUGAAAAUCCCCUGCCAUGCAGCCCAAACAAGCAGGGAGCCGGGCUGGACGGAGAGAUGGAGAUAUGAAGAGUAAAUUGAAGCUGUUUGGACCAGAAGAAGUACCUAAUAAAAAAGUCAGCUUUCAUCCUCUUGAAUGAAACAACACUGAGCAAUUCUCUCAUCUCUGAUUCGAUUAAAAGACUGUCUGGUUGUGAAGAUAUUCCACUGCUGGAUGCUUUUGGAAGCUUGGCUCAAUGAAGAAAAUGAAGAGGUUUCCUCUUGUAUUUUUCUAACCAAAGGGUUGUUGCGGCUGUAAGGAUUCAGGAACUACUUUUUAAGUUUGAACGCUGUGAGAGUCCAUUAUGGCCGACUGCAGAGGAUGUGAGGUUAAGUGGUGCCAGUGGACGCAGAGAGAGGAAGGAGGGAGGCCGACACACUGACAGCUGGUAUGGGUGAUUAGACCUUGUAGUGAUGCAGAGAAGGCAUCAAAGCUCUUUAGGGAGAAUCCCUAACGGGCAGGAGGCAAGGACACACACACACACACACACACACACACACACUAACCCCUCAAUACAGGAGAAUGAGUG